AGUAGGAUAGCUGGGUCAUAUGGUUGUUCCAUUCCUAAUUUUUUGAGGAAUCUCCAUACUGCUUUUCAGAAUGAUUGUACUAAUUUGCAGAUCCACCAGCAAA
rnacentral:pre_miRNA from 1 species